rnacentral:rRNA from 1 species
GACGAACGCUGGCGGCGUGCUUAACACAUGCAAGUCGAGCGGUAAGGCCCUUUCGGGGGUACACGAGCGGCGAACGGGUGAGUAACACGUGGGUGACCUGCCCUCAGCUCUGGGAUAAGCCUGGGAAACCGGGUCUAAUACUGGAUAUGACUCCAUGACGCAUGUUGUGGGGUGGAAAGCCUUGUGCGGCUGAGGAUGGGCCCGCGGCCUAUCAGCUUGUUGGUGGGGUGANGGCCUACCAAGGCGACGACGGGUAGCCGGCCUGAGAGGGCGACCGGCCACACGUGGGACUGAGACACGGCCCAGACUCC